CAAGAGAAAUUUACAAAUACGAAAAUCGAAGAACCCCACAUGGGAAUGAAGUUUGGUUAUGAAGAAGAUGCAUGUGAAUAUUACAGGGCAUUUGCAUUGGCGCAAGGGUUUGGCUCCCUCAAUCAAGGUUAAAUGACACUAUGGUAGCUAUAUAUGGGACCUAUGAAGACAUGGAACAUAUAUAGUAAUGAUAAUGAAUCAAGAAGUACAGAAGGAAAUCACCUUUUGAAUUCCAAUAUGUUAUAUUGUGUUGUUUGAUAUUCUAGUUUGAUUGAGAAACACAACUUCACUAUUCAAGAAGAAGCUAAGAAAAGCCAGAAGUAGAAGUACAACAAUUAAGCCAUGUGACCAUCAUGGAGGGAGGAGACUGAUGUGGUUUUUUUUAUGACAUGAUAAUUUGAACUUGGAGUUGUAUUUGUGUUGCAUUUGUACCUAUGAAAUAUUUUGUUUCAUUGCAAAUUAUAUUAAGUGCUAACCACUAGAAAAAAAUU